AGAGAAAGAGAGUUUUGGAGAGAAGAUCCCUUGUGAUUGAAACUCCUUGUUUUCAUUUCUUUUCAUCUAUACUAUGAAUUUCUCUUUAUUUAUUGUUAUGAAUUGCUUUGUAUUGUCUGAGUAGGUCAAUUAUUAGAUCCAGGGUUCAGAUAGGUUUGUGGGAUUAGCCCAAACUAUAGAUCUGCCUUGUUGUGAUAUUCAUGAUAGAUUUGUAUUCAUUGCUUGUUUUAGCCUUGCAAACUAGAACUUGAUCGUAGGAUUGCAUAUUCAAGCAUCCUUGUUAUCCCAUCCUGACAUCUAUCUAUCAUAUUAGG
rnacentral:lncRNA from 1 species